AACUGGGGUCCUCGCCGCCGGGCUGGCAGCGGCUGGAGAAGGCGCUGCGCGGGGUCACGUAGUUGCUGGGGAAGAUGCCCACCCGCUGGUUCAGCUGCCCGGUCCACCAGCCCUCGUCGCCGGACACCUGCGAGUCCUUGGACAGCACCUCCACCACGUCGCCCAGCCGCAGGGUCAGCUCGUCCUCGCCCGCCGCCUCGUACUCGAACACGGCCGUCCAGUAGGGCAGCGGCGCGUCGCAGCCCAGCUCCCCGGGGCCCACCGCCGCCGCCGCCUCCUCCUCCUCCUCCUCCUCCUCCUCGGCCCCGGCCCCUGCUCCAUCCUCCCCCGGCGGGGCGGCAGCGGCGGCGCUCGCUAGGCAGCCGAGAAGCGCUCUGGAGGGCUCCAUGGAGCGGCCGAUCCAUAGGGUGCGGGGCCGCCGCCGCCCGCAGGAGCCGCCGCCGCCUAUUGUUCAUGCGCCUCCGCAGAGCUGGGAGGACCCCCCCCCAACGACGGCGGCCGCAGAUCCCUUUUACAGUUGGAUUCUCCCUCUUGGAUCUGGCUCUGCCUUAGUCCGACCUAGAGGGAUCAGCUUCGCCCACGCCCACUCUCACCCGGAACCUUUCAUCUCUUAUUGAAGCCUUUUAGGCCCAUUGGGAUGUUCAUUAGAACUCUGAAAACUACAGUUCUCCCCUUUAUGAGGACUGCACCACAGCUCGCCCUCUCCUGGGUUCCGCCUGGUUGCAGAGUGAGCCCAUGGGACAGCCCUCUGAAAUUAUACUGCUUACAACCAUGCUGAGUCUGCAAGGACUUCGUCCAAGCCUUUCCGUCCAGGACCUCAAACAGAUCCAAUCACAAGAAGAGAGAUUUCAGGAAAGAGAAAAUUAUUCCUAUCAUCGGGGUUUUUGAAGAACAUGAAAUGACUGGGAAAAUAAUCAUGUUAAGUGGAAAAAAAAAAGAAAUCUAUCUGUUGUAAUUUUCAAAUAAUUUUUAAAUAAAUUUGAAAAAUUAAGAGAACUAUAUAUAUAAUACAUUCCUAAUCUUGUGAAAAAUAUAUAUGCAUUAAUAUUAUUGAAAGAAAUAUAUCAAAAGGUGAACAGCAAUUAUCACCAAUCUAGAUUAUGAGAUUAGGAGUGAUUUUUUUUCUUUGUCCUAUACUAUUUAAUAUUUUCUACCAUUAAAAUAUUCUGAUUUUCUAAUUAGAAUAGUACGUUAGACAAAGAAGGACAAAUAUCACAUGAACUCUCACUCUCUUAUGGAACAGAUCUUGUGGAAUCUAAAAAAGUUGAACUCAUAGAAAAAGAGGAAAAUGAUGGUUACCAGUUAGAAAAAAGGAAUAAGUUCAAGAGAUCUAUUGUACACCAUGGUCAAUAUAGUUAACAAUAUAUUUUAUACUUUAAAAUUGCUAAGGUAGUAGAUUUUAAGUGUUCUCACCACACAAAAAAAUAAGUAUGUGAAAAGCAUAUGGUAAUUAGCUUGAUUUAACCACGCCACAGUGCAUACAUAUGUCAAAACAUCAUGUUGUAUACUAUAAAUAUAUACACUUUUUGUCAAUUUUAAACAGGUUAUAAAAAAACAUGUUAUUGUUGAUAAUUAUGAAAAAUUUUAAUGAUGUGGAAAUGUGUACAGUAUAAUGAUAAAUGAAAGAGUAGUAAAAAUCCUUAUAAAAUAUAA
rnacentral:lncRNA from 1 species